UACGGGGGGGGCAAGCGUUGUUCGGAAUUACUGGGCGUAGAGGGUCUGUAGGUGGCCAACUAAGUCAGACGUGAAAUCCCUCAGCUUAACUGGGGAACUGCGUCUGAUACUGGAUGGCUUGAGUGCAGGAGAGGAACGCGGAAUUCCAGGUGUAGCGGUGAAAUGCGUAGAUAUCAAGAGGAACACCUGAGGCGAAGGCGGGUUGCUAGGCUGACACUGACGCUGAGGCGCGAAAGCUAGGGUAGCAAACGGG
rnacentral:rRNA from 1 species